UACCAGCACCCCGAGUGGUCCGGAAUUACUGGGCGUAAAGAGCUCGUAGGUGGUUUGUCGCGUUGUCCGUGAAAACUCACAACUCAAUUGUGGGCGUGCGGGCGAUACGGGCAGACUGGAGUACUGCAGGGGAGACUGGAAUUCCUGGUGUAGCGGUGGAAUGCGCAGAGAUCAGGAGGAACACCCGUGGCGAAGGCGGCCCUCUGGCUCGACCCUGACGCUGAGAGGCGAAAGCGUGGGGAGCGAACGGG
rnacentral:rRNA from 1 species